CGGCGGACGGGUGAGUAACACGUGGGUAACCUACCUAUAAGACUGGGACAACUUCGGGAAACCGGAGCUAAUACCGGAUAAGAUAUCGAACCGCAUGGUUCGAUAGUGAAAGAUGGUUUUGCUAUCACUUAUAGAUGGACCCGCGCCGUAUUAGCUAGUUGGUGAGGUAACGGCUCACCAAGGCAACGAUACGUAGCCGACCUGAGAGGGUGAUCGGCCACACUGGAACUGAGACACGGUCCAGACUCCUACGGAGGCAGCAGCC
rnacentral:rRNA from 1 species